rnacentral:rRNA from 1 species
UAACCUGCCCAAGAGAUCGGGAUAACACCUGGAAACAGAUGCUAAUACCGGAUAAUAACAGAUGAUGCCUAUCAACUGUUUAAAAGAUGGUUCUGCUAUCACUCUUGGAUGGACCUGCGGUGCAUUAGCUAGUUGGUAGGGUAACGGCCUACCAAGGCGAUGAUGCAUAGCCGAGUUGAGAGACUGAUCGGCCACAUUGUGACUGAGACACGGCCCAAACUCCUACGGGAGGCAGCAGUU